UGCCCAUUCAUCCAUGGGUGGGGAUUAGUGCCAUUACUUGUGUUAGAUUAAAAGUAUUGCACUUGUCCCGGCCUGUGGAAGAAAAGAGGAUU
rnacentral:pre_miRNA from 1 species